UUAAGUGACUAAGCGUACACGGUGGAUGCCUGGGCAGUCAGAGGCGAUGAAGGACGUACUAACUUGCGAUAAGCGCAGAUAAGGCAGUAAGAGCCGUUUGAGUCUGCGAUUUCCGAAUGGGGAAACCCAACUGCAUAAGCAGUUACUGUUAACUGAAUACAUAGGUUAACAGAGCAAACCGGGGGAACUGAAACAUCUAAGUACCCCGAGGAGAAGAAAUCAACCGAGAUUCCGGUAGUAGCGGCGAGCGAACCUGGAUUAGCCCUUAAGCACUCGGUGAAGUAGGUGAACAAGCUGGAAAGCUUGGCGAUACAGGGUGAUAGCCCCGUAACCGACGCUUCAUCGAGCGUGAAAUCGAGUAGGGCGGGACACGUGAUAUCCUGUCUGAAUAUGGGGGGACCAUCCUCCAAGGCUAAAUACUCCUGACUGACCGAUAGUGAACCAGUACCGUGAGGGAAAGGCGAAAAGAACCCCUGUGAGGGGAGUGAAAUAGAACCUGAAACCGUGUACGUACAAGCAGUAGGAGCACCUUCGUGGUGUGACUGCGUACCUUUUGUAUAAUGGGUCAGCGACUUAUAUUCAGUGGCAAGGUUAACCGUAUAGGGGAGCCGUAGCGAAAGCGAGUCUUAACUGGGCGCUCAGUCUCUGGAUAUAGACCCGAAACCGGGUGAUCUAGCCAUGGGCAGGUUGAAGGUUGAGUAACAUCAACUGGAGGACCGAACCGACUAAUGUUGAAAAAUUAGCGGAUGACUUGUGGCUAGGGGUGAAAGGCCAAUCAAACUCGGAGAUAGCUGGUUCUCCCCGAAAGCUAUUUAGGUAGCGCCUCGGACGAAUACUACUGGGGGUAGAGCACUGUUAAGGCUAGGGGGUCAUCCCGACUUACCAACCCUUUGCAAACUCCGAAUACCAGUAAGUACUAUCCGGGAGACACACGGCGGGUGCUAACGUCCGUCGUGGAGAGGGAAACAACCCAGACCGCCAGCUAAGGUCCCAAAGUAUUGCUAAGUGGGAAACGAUGUGGGAAGGCUCAGACAGCUAGGAUGUUGGCUUAGAAGCAGCCAUCAUUUAAAGAAAGCGUAAUAGCUCACUAGUCGAGUCGGCCUGCGCGGAAGAUGUAACGGGGCUAAGCAAUACACCGAAGCUGCGGCAAUGUCUUUUAGACAUUGGGUAGGGGAGCGUUCUGUAAGCCGUUGAAGGUGAAUCGUAAGGUUUGCUGGAGGUAUCAGAAGUGCGAAUGCUGACAUGAGUAACGACAAAGGGGGUGAAAAACCUCCUCGCCGGAAGACCAAGGGUUCCUGUCCAACGUUAAUCGGGGCAGGGUGAGUCGACCCCUAAGGUGAGGCCGAAAGGCGUAAUCGAUGGGAAACGGGUUAAUAUUCCCGUACUUCUGACUAUUGCGAUGGGGGGACGGAGAAGGCUAGGUGGGCCAGGCGACGGUUGUCCUGGUUCAAGUGCGUAGGCUUGAGAGUUAGGUAAAUCCGGCUCUCUCUAAGGCUGAGACACGACGUCGAGCUGCUACGGCAGUGAAGUCAUUGAUGCCAUGCUUCCAGGAAAAGCCUCUAAGCUUCAGAUAGUCAGGAAUCGUACCCCAAACCGACACAGGUGGUCGGGUAGAGAAUACCAAGGCGCUUGAGAGAACUCGGGUGAAGGAACUAGGCAAAAUGGUACCGUAACUUCGGGAGAAGGUACGCUCUUGAUGGUGAAGUCCCUCGCGGAUGGAGCUGACGAGAGUCGCAGAUACCAGGUGGCUGCAACUGUUUAUUAAAAACACAGCACUGUGCAAAAUCGCAAGAUGACGUAUACGGUGUGACGCCUGCCCGGUGCCGGAAGGUUAAUUGAUGGGGUUAGCGUAAGCGAAGCUCUUGAUCGAAGCCCCGGUAAACGGCGGCCGUAACUAUAACGGUCCUAAGGUAGCGAAAUUCCUUGUCGGGUAAGUUCCGACCUGCACGAAUGGCGUAAUGAUGGCCACGCUGUCUCCACCC
rnacentral:rRNA from 1 species